UACAGAGGGGGCAAGCGUUGUUCGGAAUUACUGGGCGUAAAGGGCGCGUAGGCGGCCUGUUAAGUCGAACGUGAAAUCCCCGGGCUCAACCCGGGAACUGCGUCCGAUACUGGCAGGCUUGAAUCCGGGAGAGGGACGCGGAAUUCCAGGUGUAGCGGUGAAAUGCGUAGAUAUCGGGAGGAACACCAGUGGCGAAGGCGGCUUCCUGGCCUGUUCUUGACGCUGAGGCGCGAAAGCUAGGGGAGCAAACGGG
rnacentral:rRNA from 1 species